GAUGGUGCUAUCCUACUUGGAUAACUGUGGUAAUUCUAGAGCUAAUACAUGCGACAAAGCUCCGACCCUCGUUGGAAAGAGCGCUUUUAUUAGAUCAAGACCAACCGGUAUUGCUUUCGGGUGUGCCGUCGGAUUGAUGACUCUGGAUAACCUUUGCCGAUCGUAUGGCCCCGCGCCGACGACGCAUCUUUCAAAUGUCUGCCCUAUCAACUUUCGUUGGUAGGUGAUUUGCCUACCAAGGUGUUUACGGGUAACGGGGGAUCAGGGUUCGAUCCCGGAGAGGGAGCAUGAGAAACGGCUACCACAUCCAAGGAAGGCAGCAGGCGCGCAAAUUACCCACUCUUAGCACGAGGAGGUAGUGACGAAAAAUAACAAUACGGGACUCUUUCGAGGCCCCGUAAUUGGAAUGAGUACACUCUAAACCCGUUAACGAGGAUCUAUUGGAGGGCAAGUCUGGUGCCAGCAGCCGCGGUAAUUCCAGCUCCAAUAGCGUAUAUUAAAGCUGUUGCAGUUAAAAAGCUCGUAGUCGGAUUUCGGGCGGCGGCCAAUGGUUCGGUUCCGUGCCGAUACUGCUGGUCGCGGCCUCCACGCCGGUCGUCUUUCGGUGCUCUUAACUGAGUGCCUUAAGUAGCCGGAGCGUUUACUUUGAAAAAAUUAGAGUGUUCAAGGCAGGCCUCGAGCCUGAAUGAUGGUGCAUGGAAUAAUGGAAUAGGACCUCGGUUCUAUUUUGUUGGUCUUCGGAACUGGAGGUAAUGAUUAAUAGGGACGGACGGGGGCAUUCGUAUUGCGGCGUUAGAGGUGAAAUUCUUGGAUCGUCGCAAGACGGACUACUGCGAAAGCAUUUGCCAAGAAUGUUUUCAUUGAUCAAGAGCGAAAGUCAGAGGAUCGAAGACGAUCAGAUACCGUCCUAGUUCUGACCAUAAACGAUGCCGACUAGCGAUCCGGCUCCGUUGCUUUAUAGACUGGCCGGGCAGCUCCCGGGAAAC
rnacentral:rRNA from 1 species